rnacentral:tRNA from 2 species
GGCCGAGUGGCGGAAUGGCAGACGCGGCGGAUUCAAAAUCCGCUUUCUUCGGAAGUACCGGUUCAAGUCCGGUCUCGGCUACCA